GUCUCUACCAGCUCCCUCUUCGUGCCUUUCCCGACCUCUUUGGAGGCAGAAAUCGCCUGUGGGUCCCUAGUUCCAGAUGUCGAACCACAUCGAGGACUGGUAGGGAAGGAGCUUAAAGUGAGCGGCUGCAUGCUGGAGGUGUAAGUGUUGAAAGAGUCUAGGAUGCUGGGUAGGUGUCUGGGCCAUCCUCCACCCUAGGCUGCACUUCCUCAGAGACAUCAUCACACUAGAGUGAUUUUUAAGGAAAGGCAUGAUGCACUGGACCAGUCUAGUCUCUACCUGCAGUACAGUGGAUGCCUGACAGAUGAAGAAAGGGUAGGAGCCAAGAGAAAGGCAGAUGGUCUGAUUACUGUGAGUUCCAGGCCAGCCAGAUCCACAUAGCAAUCCCUAAGCCAACCAUGGCUACAUAGUGAGAGAUUUUCUAUCUAUUUCC
rnacentral:lncRNA from 1 species